rnacentral:tRNA from 1 species
GGAGGGUUGGCCGAGUCGUGAGGCUCUCCGUCUGAAGCGGAGUGGAUGUCGGAGAUCCGGCAUGCGCGGGUUCGAUCCCCGCACCCUCCU